UUUAAAGAGUUAUUCUGCUCCAUUGCUCCCCAGAGGAUGCGGGAAAGUCAAGAACAUUCUGAAAGCUAUGAUUUGAUGAGGUUCCAGGUUUCUUAUCUUUAAAGUUAUUUAUUUUGCAGUAGCCCAACCCUUGAGAGAAACUCAUGGUCCUGCAGUAUGAUUGACAACUCUUUUUUUUUCUCCCUCUACCAGCACCUACUACACUGAUGAUUAAAUAAAAAUCUUCAAAAAAUAUUGUUUAAAUAAGUGAAUGAAUGCAACCCUUCUAAGGUCUUGAUUUCCUACCUUCACCAUCUUGUUUCAAUAGUUAACAAUACGUUCCUUCUAAAUGAUAUCUGUCAGACUACUCUUAAAGGAUCCCACUCUUCAGUUCAUAGACAUUUAGAUUCAUCUUACUAUCUUACUUUUCUUGAUUAGUUGCUCUUGAGGAAAAAAGAAGGCAAAGUAACAUAAGUAUCCAAUGCAUAGCAUAUAGCCAGAGGUGAUGAUGUAACUGAAAACUGACAAUAAUUCUUGUAAUAAAGAGGCAUCUGCUAAUCUGUUGCUAAUUUUUAUUUGAAAAUUGUUGUUGUUGCUUAGGCCUUAACAAGGUCAGGAAAAUACAGAAGCUCCUUUAAAAAGGGAAAAUGAAACAAAAAAGUAAGUUUCAUAUUUUCCUUGGUCUCUUGCUUAAGAAGGUUACUGUAGGAAAUGUAAAUAGACCACAGGAAGCUUUAGAAACUCAGCUCUUUGAUUGAAAAAAUGGAAAUUCUGUUUUUUACAGAAAUAAAGUAAUUCAAUGAAAAUACAAAAUACAGUUGGUUAUCAUUUAAAAAGGGUUUGUUUUUUGGAUUAUGGUUUCUUUGAUAUAGUACAACUCUGGCACAGACCAUUCCAAGUGUAUUUCUGAAAGCAAAA
rnacentral:lncRNA from 1 species